rnacentral:rRNA from 1 species
AUUGAACGCUGGCGGCAGGCCUAACACAUGCAAGUCGAACGGUAACAGGAAGCAGCUUGCUGCUUCGCUGACGAGUGGCGGACGGGUGAGUAAUGUCUGGGAAGCUGCCUGAUGGAGGGGGAUAACUACUGGAAACGGUAGCUAAUACCGCAUAAUGUCGCAAGACCAAAGAGGGGGACCUUCGGGCCUCUUGCCAUCGGAUGUUCCCAGAUGGGAUUAGCUUGUUGGUGGGGUAACGGCUCACCAAGGCGACGAUCCCUAGCUGGUCUGAGAGGAUGACCAGCCACACUGGGACUGAGACACGGUCCAGACUCCUACGGGAGGCAGCAGUGGGGAAUAUUGCACAAUGGGCGCAAGCCUGAUGCAGCCAUGCCGCGUGUAUGAAGAAGGCCUUCGGGUUGUAAAGUACUUUCAGCGGGGAGGAAGGGAGUAAAGUUAAUACCUUUGCUCAUUGACGUUACCCGCAGAAGAAGCACCGGCUAACUCCGUG